CCAGAAGGAAGCACUGCAUUAGCGAGUCCUGAAGAUCCUUUCCAGCUCUUUGAUUAUAUGACAUUCUGACUAGCACAAAGAGGCACACCUGCAAUCCUACUGAGAGUUCCAUGGAUCAUUAAUGAUUAUUCAUGGUGAAGGAAGCAGAGGAUUUCUCACACAUAUCUUGGUGGUUCAUGAUCUGGAAAUGAAGCACAUCCUGGGCUAUGAAUUCCAGGGAGCUGUGCCUAGAAGUCUCUUGGGCUCCCAAGUCUUGUCUAUGCGCUCUUUUUCCUGAAAUACCACAUCCUUUACCUUUACUUAAGGACUAAUGCAUGUGUGUGUAAUCUAUGGAGUUUUGUGAGUUCUUUCAAUUAUAUUUGUAUAAUUUACACAGUGUUUAUGCUGUUUUUCAAGAAAGACAUUAUUAUGUAUUUCAAGUUCUAAUUUACACUUAUUUCAGUGUGGUUUUCAUAAGGUUUAAUUAGAAAGAAGUAGCCAAUAUUUUUAUCAGUUAUCUGAUCUGAUCAACUUCCAGCUUCUGAUAAAUUGUCAUAUUUUUCUUGUUAUUUUGAAACACCAGUAUAAAGAUCAAAGACCUUUAGUAGGGUAGGCUGCUAAUCAGAUUUUUCAUUAUUAUAAGAUGAUUUGACUACUGUUUUGUCACUUCUUAACUUCUGUGUGUUGUAUAGACUUUUAAGGCCAUGUUGUAUUGUUUUUUUGAAUAUAGUUCUCUUUUUUUAUAACAGCAUGAAAUUAUAUUUUACUUCUGUAACUCUAAUAAUUGUCAAAUGUAUUUUUAAACUGACUUCUUUUAAAUGAAGCAAAUUACUAUUUAUCUAACUUACCCGUAAAGUUUAAAAGAUAUACUUUAUAGAAAUUUACUCUCUUCAUUACUGUGCUGCAUUUUUCUGAUGAUUUUCACACAGUCAGAGAAUUCAAAAGAUGAACUUUAAGGCAAAGUCAUGUCAUCGUUGAUCUCUUGCACAACAAUCCUUGAAGCACUAAUGACUCAAAAUGGUUACAAUAUUUCAUUACCAUGGAAAUUGGAAGUGAUGACUGUGACCUUGAUGUAUGAGGUGGUGACCCAAAACAUGUAAUGGAUUCUGAGUCCUGAGGUGCUUGACAGUUAUGUUUGUAUAACCUUUUGGGAUCAAAGUGUUUACUUAAAUUUGUUGGUAAGCUACAUAUUUUAAAACAAAAUUGUUAUUCUACUAUUUUUUGUUCUGUUUGAAUAUAGCUAUACAAUUUCUGAUAAGUGGCUAUAUUUGUUGAAUAA
rnacentral:lncRNA from 1 species